rnacentral:rRNA from 1 species
GACGAACGCUGGCGGCGUGCUUAACACAUGCAAGUCGAACGGAAAGGCCCUGCUUUUGUGGGGUGCUCGAGUGGCGAACGGGUGAGUAACACGUGAGUAACCUGCCCUUGACUUUGGGAUAACUUCAGGAAACUGGGGCUAAUACCGGAUAGGAGCUCCUGCUGCAUGGUGGGGGUUGGAAAGUUUCGGCGGUUGGGGAUGGACUCGCGGCUUAUCAGCUUGUUGGUGGGGUAGUGGCUUACCAAGGCUUUGGCGGGUAGCCGGCCUGAGAGGGUGACCGGCCACAUUGAGACUGAGAUACGGCUCAGACUCCUACGGGAGGCAGCAGUGGGGAAUAUUGCACAAUGGGCGGAAGCCUGAUGCAGCAACGCCGCGUGCGGGAUGACGGCCUUCGGGUUGUAAACCGCUUUCGCCUGUGACGAAGCGUGAGUGACGGUAAUGGGUAAAGAAGCACCGGCUAACUACGUG